rnacentral:rRNA from 1 species
AUUGAACGCUGGCGGCAGGCUUAACACAUGCAAGUCGAGCGGAGCGAGGGUGCUUGCACCUUAGCUUAGCGGCGGACGGGUGAGUAAUGCUUAGGAAUCUGCCUAUUAGUGGGGGACAACAUUCCGAAAGGGAUGCUAAUACCGCAUACGCCCUACGGGGGAAAGCAGGGGAUCUUCGGACCUUGCGCUAAUAGAUGAGCCUAAGUCGGAUUAGCUAGUUGGUGGGGUAAAGGCCUACCAAGGCGACGAUCUGUAGCGGGUCUGAGAGGAUGAGCCGCCACACUGGGACUGGGACACGGCCCAGACUCCUACGGGAGGCAGCAGUGGGGAAUAUUGGACAAUGGGCGGAAGCCUGAUCCAGCCAUGCCGCGUGUGUGAAGAAGGCCUUUUGGUUGUAAAGCACUUUAAGCGAGGAGGAGGCUACUAGUAUUAAUACUACUGGAUAGUGGACGUUACUCGCAGAAUAAGCACCGGCUAACUCUGUGCCAGCAGCCGCAGUAAAAC